GAUGAACGCUGGCGGCGUGCCUAAUACAUGCAAGUAGAACGCUGAAGCUUGGUGCUUGCACCGAGCGGAUGAGUUGCGAACGGGUGAGUAACGCGUAGGUAACCUGCCUCUUAGCGGGGGAUAACUAUUGGAAACGAUAGCUAAUACCGCAUAAAAGUCGAUAUCGCAUGAUAUUGAUUUGAAAGGUGCAAAUGCAUCACUAAGAGAUGGACCUGCGUUGUAUUAGCUAGUUGGUGAGGUAACGGCUCACCAAGGCGACGAUACAUAGCCGACCUGAGAGGGUGAUCGGCCACACUGGGACUGAGACACGGCCCAGACUCCUACGGGAGGCAGCAGUAGGGAAUCUUCGGCAAUGGGGGCAACCCUGACCGAGCAACGCCGCGUGAGUGAAGAAGGUUUUCGGAUCGUAAAGCUCUGUUGUAAGAGAAGAACGAGUGUGAGAGUGGAAAGUUCACAAUGUGACGGUAACUUACCAGAAAGGGACGGCUAACUACGUG
rnacentral:rRNA from 1 species